AGGAUAAUAGUUAAAUAUAAUUUUUAAUUUGCAUUUAAAAGACAUUGAUUAAAAUCAAUUUAUCUUA
rnacentral:tRNA from 1 species